rnacentral:rRNA from 1 species
CUUUUACAAUGAAGAGUUUGAUCCUGGCUCAGGAUGAACGCUAGCUACAGGCUUAACACAUGCAAGUCGAGGGGCAGCAUGAAUAUUGGCUUGCCAAUAUUUGA